rnacentral:rRNA from 1 species
UUUGUUGCCAGCGGUUAGGCCGGGAACUCAAAGGAGACUGCCAGUGAUAAACUGGAGGAAGGUGGGGAUGACGUCAAGUCAUCAUGGCCCUUACGAGUAGGGCUACACACGUGCUACAAUGGCAUAUACAAAGAGAAGCGACCUCGCGAGAGCAAGCGGACCUCAUAAAGUAUGUCGUAGUCCGGAUUGGAGUCUGCAACUCGACUCCAUGAAGUCGGAAUCGCUAGUAAUCGUGGAUCAGAAUGCCACGGUGAAUACGUUCCCGGGCCUUGUACACACCGCCCGUCACACCAUGGGAGUGGGUUGCAAAAGAAGUAGGUAGCUUAACCUUCGGGAGGGCGCUUACCACUUUGUGAUUCAUGACUGGGGUGAAGUCGUAACAAGGUAACCGUAGGGGAACCUGCGGUUGGA